ACGUAGGGGGCAAGCGUUGUCCGGAAUUACUGGGCGUAAAGCGCACGCAGGCGGUUCGUUAAGUCGGAUGUGAAAGAUCGGGGCUCAACCCCGGUUUGCGUUCGAUACUGGCGGACUGGAGUGUCGGAGAGGGAAGUGGAAUUCCCGGUGUAGCGGUGAAAUGCGUAGAUAUCGGUAGGAACACCAGAGGCGGAGGCGGCUUCCUGGCCGACAACCGACGCUCAUGUGCGUAAGCUGGGAGAGCAUACGU
rnacentral:rRNA from 1 species